AUUGAACGCUGGCGGAAUGCUUUACACAUGCAAGUCGAACGGUAGAGGGGGCAACCCCUUGAGAGUGGCGAACGGGUGAGUAAUAUAUCGGAACGUGCCCAGUCGUGGGGGAUAACGUAGCGAAAGUUACGCUAAUACCGCAUACGAUCUAAGGAUGAAAGCGGGGGACUCGCAAGAGCCUCGCGCGAUUGGAGCGGCCGAUAUCAGAUUAGGUAGUUGGUGGGGUAAAGGCUCACCAAGCCAACGAUCUGUAGCUGGUCUGAGAGGACGACCAGCCACACUGGAACUGAGACACGGUCCAGACUCCUACGGGAGGCAGCAGUGGGGAAUUUUGGACAAUGGACGCAAGUCUGAUCCAGCCAUUCCGCGUGCAGGAUGAAGGCCCUCGGGUUGUAAACUGCUUUUGUACGGAACGAAAAGGUUUCUAUUAAUACUAGGAGCUCAUGACGGUACCGUAAGAAUAAGCACCGGCUAACUACGUG
rnacentral:rRNA from 1 species